ensembl:snoRNA
UAGCCAGCCGAUUAAUGUGUUUAUCUGAUGUGUUCCCGCAGAAAUUUGGAAACAGCUGGCAACAGUGAUGCCAUUUUAGGAGGUUUAAGGUUAACCAGGGUCAUUGCAGUCCCUGAAAAUGGCUACAAUA